rnacentral:rRNA from 1 species
AGAGUUUGAUCCUGGCUCAGAUUGAACGCUGGCGGCAUGCCUUACACAUGCAAGUCGAACGGCAGCACGGGAGCAAUCCUGGUGGCGAGUGGCGAACGGGUGAGUAAUAUAUCGGAACGUGCCCAGUCGUGGGGGAUAACGUAGCGAAAGCUACGCUAAUACCGCAUACGAUCUAUGGAUGAAAGCGGGGGAUCGCAAGACCUCGCGCGAUUGGAGCGGCCGAUAUCAGAUUAGCUAGUUGGUGGGGUAAAGGCCCACCAAGGCGACGAUCUGUAGCUGGUCUGAGAGGACGACCAGCCACACUGGAACUGAGACACGGUCCAGACUCCUACGGGAGGCAGCAGUGGGGAAUUUUGGACAAUGGGCGCAAG